rnacentral:tRNA from 1 species
GCCCGCGUAGCUCAGGGGAUAGAGCGACUGCCUCCUAAGCAGUAGGUCGCAGGUUCGAAUCCUGCCGCGGGCG